UACGUAGGGCGCAAGCGUUGUCCGGAAUUAUUGGGCGUAAAGGGCGCGUAGGCGGCCUGUUAAGUCGAACGUGAAAUCCCCGGGCUCAACCCGGGAACUGCGUCCGAUACUGGCAGGCUUGAAUUCGGGAGAGGGAUGUGGAAUUCCAGGUGUAGCGGUGAAAUGCGUAGAUAUCUGGAGGAAUACCGGUGGCGAAGGCGGCAUCCUGGACCGGCAUUGACGCUGAGGAGCGAAAGCUAGGGGAGCAAACGGG
rnacentral:rRNA from 1 species